UCUGGUGUUCAUGACAAAUACUGAAAAUUUAUGAGGAACCACCCUAGUAUAUCCAAGGCUGCUCUAGGCCUCAUGUAAACAUCCAGGAGUGCUUCCCAAGUACCAGGCAUCGCUUGGGUGAAACUGACCAUGAAGGAAAUUGCUGGAUUUCAAAGGGCUCUUUAUUCCCGUCAGGUGAUGAACAGAGGAUGAACAGCUUAUGGACCUUAGGUUAUGGGCAUAAUAAAUGUUCAAAACACUUCCAAAAUACAUGCAAAUGA
rnacentral:lncRNA from 1 species